rnacentral:rRNA from 1 species
UACGUAGGGGGCUAGCGUUGUCCGGAUUUAUUGGGCGUAAAGAGCGUGUAGGCGGCCAGGUAGGUCUGCUGUGAAAACUCGAGGCUCAACCUCGAGACGUCGGCGGAAACCAUCUGGCUAGAGUCCGGAAGAGGAGAGUGGAAUUCCUGGUGUAGCGGUGAAAUGCGCAGAUAUCAGGAAGAACACCCGUGGCGAAGGCGGCUCUCUGGGCCUUACCUGACGCUGAGGAGCGAAAGCGUGGGGAGCGAACAGG